rnacentral:rRNA from 1 species
GACGAACGCUGGCGGCGUGCCUAAUACAUGCAAGUCGAACGCUUCUUUCCUCUCGAGUGCUUGCACUCUAUUGGAAAGAGGGGAGGCGGACGGGUGAGUAACACGUGGGUAACCUACCCAUCAGAGGGGGAGAACACUUGGAAACAGGUGCUAAUACCUCAUCACAGUUUAUGCCGCAUUGCAUAAGAGUGAAAGGCGCUUUCGGGUGUCGCUGAUGGAUGGACCCGCGGUGCAUCAGCUAGUUGGUGAGGUAACGGCGCACCAAGGCCACGAUGCAUAGCCCCCCUGAGAGCGACGUCGGACACCCUGGGACUGAGACCCGGCCCCGACUCCUACGGGGAGCAGCAGUAGGGAAUCUUCCGCAAUGGACGAAAGUCUAACCGAGCAACGCCGCGUGAGUGAAGAAGGUGUUCGGAUCCUAGAGCUCUGUUGUUAGUGAAGAACAAGGACGUUAGUAACUGAACGUCUCCUGACGGUAUCUAACCAGAAAGCCCCGGCUAACUACGUG